AUUGAACGCUGGCGGCAUGCCUUACACAUGCAAGUCGAACGGCAGCACGGGUGCUUGCCCCUGGUGGCGAGUGGCGAACGGGUGAGUAAUACAUCGGAACAUGUCCUGUAGUGGGGGAUAGCCCGGCGAAAGCCGGAUUAAUACCGCAUACGAUCUACGGAUGAAAGCGGGGGACCUUCGGGCCUCGCGCUAUGGGGUUGGCCGAUGGCUGAUUGGCUAGUUGGUGGGGUAAAGGCCUACCAAGGCGACGAUCAGUAGCUGGUCUGAGAGGACGACCAGCCACACUGGGACUGAGAAACGGCCCAGACUCCUACGGGAGGCAGCAGUGGGGAAUUUUGGACAAUGGGCGAAAGCCUGAUCCAGCAAUGCCGCGGGUGUGAAGAAGGCCUUCGGGUUGUAAAGCACUUUUGUCCGGAAAGAAAUCCUUGGCCCUAAUACGGUCGGGGGAUGACGGUACCGGAAGAAUAAGCACCGGCUAACUACGUG
rnacentral:rRNA from 1 species